rnacentral:rRNA from 1 species
AUUGAACGCUGGCGGCAGGCCUAACACAUGCAAGUCGAACGAGUGGCGGACGGGUGAGUAAUGACUGGGAAACUGCCUGAUGGAGGGGGAUAACUACUGGAAACGGUAGCUAAUACCGCAUACCAUCGGAUGUGCCCAGAUGGGAUUAGCUAGUAGGUGGGGUAACGGCGCACCUAGGCGACGACCCCUACCUGGUCUGAGAGGAUGACCAGCUAAACUGGAACGGAGAGACGGUCCAGACUCCUACGGGAGGCAGGAGUGGGGAAUAUUGCAAAAUGGGCGCAAGCCUGAGGAAGCCAUGCCGCGUGUAUGAAGAAGGCCUUCGGGUUGUAAAGUACUUUCAGCGGGGAGGCGUUACCCGCAGAAGAAGCACCGGCUAACUCCGUGCCAGCAGCCGCGGUAAUAC